rnacentral:tRNA from 1 species
GAAUUAAGUGGCUUGGUGGUUAUCGCGUCGUACUUGAAACCCGCAGCUCGCUGGUUCGAACCCACCUAGCUCA